rnacentral:ncRNA from 1 species
AGAAAGUUUGAUUCUGGCUUUUGUUUUGUUAAAAUUUAUAAACCAAAUAUAAAUAGGUACUACUUGAAGUAAUAGGGGUAGUGGUUGAUUUUGAUUAUCAAGAUUUUGGACUCAGUUAAAAUUUUUAGGGUCGGCUUAAUUCGUGCCAGCCGCCGCGGUUAUACGAAAGAUUUAAAUGAAAUAGAUUAGUGGAAUUGAGUAAAUUAUAUUUUUUGAGUUAACCUUUUAAAUAAAUAAUUAAGGGUAAAAUCUAUAAUUUUUUAAGUGAGAGGUUAUAAAGAAAUAAAUAAUCUUUAAAGAUAGGGGUUUAGACUAGGAUUAGAUACCCUAUUAUUCCUUAUUAAAUUAUUUGCUUGGGUAGUAAAAAUUUUUAAACCUAAAGAAUUUGGCGGUACUUCAUUCUUACUAGAGGAACCUGCUCUUGGAUCGAUAAUCCACGAUUUAAUGUACAUGAAUUUGUUUUCAGUUUGUAUACCGCCGUUGUCUGAUUAUUUUUAAAGAAUAUAAUCUAAUUAGUUGAUGAACUAGGACUUCAGGUCAAGGUGCAGCCUAUGUUUAUGGGAGUAGUGGGUUACAAUAAAUUCAAUUUAUACGGAUUGAAAUUAGGUGGGUUGUUUAUGAAGGUGGAUUUAGUAGUAAAUUAAUAAUAAAAUUCUUAAUUGAAAUGAGCUCUGAAGUGUGUACACAUCGCCCGUCGCUCUCUCCUUAAGGAGAGAUAAGUCGUAACAUAGUAGAUGUACUGGAAAGUGCCUCUAGGUAGAU